rnacentral:lncRNA from 1 species
AGUGCGAGCCACCGCUCUUCCAUGUGCCUCUGAGGGUGCGGACAAUCGCUUCCGCGCGCGUGCGAGCAAUUUGUGCACCGGACACCGCGGGAAGGCCCGAAAAAGUGAUCGUGCCAAUCACGGCGCCGGCAGGCUACAGCGCACCGCCACAAUGACGGAAUAUAAACUAGGUGUCGUCGGUGCCGGUGGUGUGGGAAAGAGUGCCUUGACAAUCCAGCUCAUACAGAACCACUUUGUGGAUGAAUAUGACCA